UAAUCUACAUCCAUGCAUAUGUGCAUGCUAUAUCUAUAUACAUACAUAUGUAUUUGUGCAUAUGAAUAAUAGCAUAACGCAACGUUGGCAGCGUCGAUUUUUCUUGGCAAAUAGAUCAAAAAAUUAAAAUUGUUUUGCCGGUGCGAAAAUUAAAAUAAAAUUAAAAAGCAAUAAUAACAACAUGUCUAGAACGUCUGGCGGCGACGGCGGCGACGGCGGCAUUGUGUUUGAGUAGGCGCUGCUUAUUGGAGAUAGUAAAAGUGUUUCUGAACGUAAUCCAGUGUUGGCAAAGGCGAUGUUGAGGAUGUGCUUGCUGAUGAGUUCAUGUUGUUGUUAUUGGGCAGCAGGAUGUGCUUGAGCAAUUUGGCUGCACUUAUGCGGUGUUACAUGAGUAGUUGAAGUGGAAUUAAUUGAUAAUCUAAAUAAAAACGGCACAUUCUAUCUUUCACAAAUAUCAGAUCAAUAUCUUGAACACCACGGAAGAUAACGGAAUAAAGCAGACACCUUCUUUAAUUGUGACACAGUUUAGUCAUCACGGUAGAGGGUCCACAACUACGAACAGGUCGACUGUCUGAUAUUCCAAAAGCAUCAAAAAAUUUGCGAAAAUAUUUUAUAUGCAAAAGAGAAGGUUUUAACUUUAGACAUAUAAAUCCAAUUCUGGAUGGAAUGUACAGAUUUUUAGCAAAAACUAAAUAAAUCAAAUUAUAAACAGCAUAAAACUAAGAGAAUAACUAAUAUAACCAUCAACUAAAAUUCAACGUUUAAGAAGAAAGGAAA